GGAGCCGAAGGAGCCGAGGAAGGAGAGCAGCAGCAGCGGCCGCAAGAAGCGGAGCCGGAGCCGCGAGCACAGACACAGCCGCAGCCGGGACCGGGAGCGGGAUCGGCGCCGCCGC